rnacentral:rRNA from 1 species
GGGUCAGUAGGUUGGUCGUGCCACCGGUACGUACUGGUCUCACUGAUUCCUCCUUCCUGAAGAACCGUAAUGCCAUUAAUUUGGUGUUGCGGGGAAACAGGACUGUUACUUUGAAAAAAUUAGAGUGUUUAAAGCAAGCUAACGCUUGAAUACAUUAGCAUGGCAUAAUGAAGUAGGACGAUCGAUCCUAUUUUGUUGGUUUCUGGGAUUGACGUA